ACCUUAUGCAAGCGCUAUUGAUUAGCUUCACAACCACCUGUCUGUAAAUCAUUUUCCAUCUCUGGUUGUGAGUAAUAUCUGCAUGCUUUGUUCAUCUUCCACUUAAUGACCCUGGCUCUCCUCCUGAUUCUCAGCAGAGUGGCUCCACUGUGCACGAGGAAAUUAUGCAGUGGUCAGGCUGGAGUGAGUAAGGAAGACUCUGUCCUCCUUUAUGCUCUUCGCAGAUACCUGAGCCCUGCUCCGGGUCACAGCACGGCCAUGGCAGCGCACGAGCCCAGUCUGCUGAGAUGCUGUCGGCACUGCCAAGGGUGAGAAUUUCCACUGUGACUGUGCUUCACGGCAUCGCGUCUGUUUGCAGUUGGCAACCUGCUCUUCCAUUUUAUGGGGUUUUCCAAACCGAUGAGGCAGAUUUACUCAUCUUUCUGACUGACAGCAUUUCUGAAAGACACGCUUUCCAACCCUUCGUGGCUGGCUUCACCGGGCCCCUUGGAGAGCGAGUGCUGUUGGUUUGUGCACUGACCAGGUUCAGGUUUGUGCAUUUCAUCUCAGCAGCAGCCCUGGAGCUUUUUUUCCAAAGAUAUUUCUUCCCUUCUCCUUGCCCGUGCUCCUUUUCAUACCUUUCCUACUUUGAGAAAAGCAUCACAGUUGUGCUCUGCUGGCUUUCCCUUCCUGCGGUGUGUGUCCAGCAGCAACAGCUGGGAAGACAAGCAAUGGUGAGGGAAGGUAGAGAACUACCAUUCCAUCCUGGGCAUCCCCACUGGGCAGGCAGCUCCCCAGGAGCAGCAGCCGCCCACUCCAGGUCUUCAGUGCAAACCUGCCCGCAAGCUGCUGUUGGAGGAACAUCCAGGACAGCACUUGGGAAGGUGGGGGAACAAGACAGCCUCCUGUGCUGUCUGGGAAGAGUGAUGGCUCCAGGACCACGGCUGAUGGAGGAUGAAGGUUUGCUGUUUUCUGGUUGGAGUAUUUUUAAUAGUCUGCAUUAUUAAAUGGAAAGCAAACUACAGGUAUGGCCAUUAAUUCUGCUGGGGAAAGGACAGCCUGCCUUCUUCAAGCAUCCAGACCUGCUUCACAAUAUGUGAGGUAAAAAUAGAAAGCAGAGUACUAAAACAAAGAGGGAGUAAAGAUUAACACAGGGGACUUGGCAGCCUAAAUAU
rnacentral:lncRNA from 1 species